UACAGAGGGUGCAAGCGUUAAUCGGAAUUACUGGGCGUAAAGCGUGCGUAGACGGUUAUUUAAGUCGGGUGUGAAAGCCCAAGGCUCAACCUUGGAAGUGCAUUCGAAACUGGCGUGCUUGAAUAUGGACGAGGGUCGCGGAAUUCCCGGUGUAGAGGUGAAAUUCGUAGAUAUCGGGAGGAACACCAGUGGCGAAGGCGGCGACCUGGGCCAAUAUUGACGCUAAGAUGCGAAAGCGUGGGGAGCAAACAGG
rnacentral:rRNA from 1 species